GAUGAAGAACGUAGUGAAAUGCGAUACGUAAUGUGAAUUGCAGAAUUCAGUGAAUCAUCGAAUCUUUGAACGCAUAUUGCGCUCUCUGGUAUUCCGGAGAGCAUGCUUGUUUGAGUAUCAGUAAACACCUCAACUUCCAUAUCUUUUUUGAAAUGGGAGUUGGACUUGAGUGAUCCCAACGCUUUUCCUCACCGAAAAGUGGCGGGUUACUUGAAAUGCAGGUGCAGCUUGACUUUUCUCUGAGCUAUAAGCAUAUCUAUUUAGUCUGCCUAAAAAACAGAUUAUUACCUUUGCUGCAGCUAACAUAAAGGAGAUUAGUUCUUGUGCUGACUGAUGCAGGAUUCACAAAGACAGGCUUCGGCCGACUUUGUAAACUCGAUCUCAAAUCAAGUAAGACUACCCGCUGAACUUAAGCAUAUCAAUAAGCGGAGGA
rnacentral:misc_RNA from 1 species